rnacentral:rRNA from 1 species
UACGUAGGGCGCAAGCGUUGUCCGGAAUUAUUGGGCGUAAAGAGCUCGUAGGCGGUUUGUCGCGUCUGCCGUGAAAGUCCGGGGCUCAACUCCGGAUCUGCGGUGGGUACGGGCAGACUAGAGUGAUGUAGGGGAGACUGGAAUUCCUGGUGUAGCGGUGAAAUGCGCAGAUAUCAGGAGGAACACCGGUGGCGGAGGCGGGUCUCUGGGCCGUAACUGACGCUGAGGAGCGAAAGCGUGGGGAGCGAACAGG